rnacentral:rRNA from 1 species
AACGCUAGCUACAGGCUUAACACAUGCAAGUCGAGGGGCAUCAGGAAGAAAGCUUGCUUUCUUUGCUGGCGACCGGCGCACGGGUGAGUAACACGUAUCCAACCUGCCCUUUACUCGGGGAUAGCCUUUCGAAAGAAAGAUUAAUACCCGAUAGCAUAAUGAUUCCGCAUGGUUUCAUUAUUAAAGGAUUCCGGUAAAGGAUGGGGAUGCGUUCCAUUAGGUUGUUGGUGAGGUAACGGCCCACCAAGCCUUCGAUGGAUAGGGGUUCUGAGAGGAAGGUCCCCCACAUUGGAACUGAGACACGGUCCAAACUCCUACGGGAGGCAGCAGUGAGGAAUAUUGGUCAAUGGGCGCUAGCCUGAACCAGCCAAGUAGCGUGAAGGAUGAAGGCUCUAUGGGUCGUAAACUUCUUUUAUAUAAGAAUAAAGUGCAGUAUGUAUACUGUUUUGUAUGUAUUAUAUGAAUAAGGAUCGGCUAACUCCGUGCCAGCAGCCGCGGUAAUACGGAGGAUCCGAGCGUUAUCCGGAUUUAUUGGGUUUAAAGGGAGCGUAGGUGGACUGGUAAGUCAGUUGUGAAAGUUUGCGGCUCAACCGUAAAAUUGCAGUUGAUACUGUCAGUCUUGAGUACAGUAGAGGUGGGCGGAAUUCGUGGUGUAGCGGUGAAAUGCUUAGAUAUCACGAAGAACUCCGAUUGCGAAGGCAGCUCACUGGACUGCAACUGACACUGAUGCUCGAAAGUGUGGGUAUCAAACAGGAUUAGAUACCCUGGUAGUCCACACAGUAAACGAUGAAUACUCGCUGUUUGCGAUAUACAGUAAGCGGCCAAGCGAAAGCAUUAAGUAUUCCACCUGGGGAGUACGCCGGCAACGGUGAAACUCAAAGGAAUUGACGGGGGCCCGCACAAGCGGAGGAACAUGUGGUUUAAUUCGAUGAUACGCGAGGAACCUUACCCGGGCUUAAAUUGCAGUGGAAUGAUGUGGAAACAUGUCAGUGAGCAAUCACCGCUGUGAAGGUGCUGCAUGGUUGUCGUCAGCUCGUGCCGUGAGGUGUCGGCUUAAGUGCCAUAACGAGCGCAACCCUUAUCUUUAGUUACUAACAGGUUAUGCUGAGGACUCUAGAGAGACUGCCGUCGUAAGAUGUGAGGAAGGUGGGGAUGACGUCAAAUCAGCACGGCCCUUACGUCCGGGGCUACACACGUGUUACAAUGGGGGGUACAGAAGGCAGCUAGCGGGUGACCGUAUGCUAAUCCCAAAAUCCUCUCUCAGUUCGGAUCGAAGUCUGCAACCCGACUUCGUGAAGCUGGAUUCGCUAGUAAUCGCGCAUCAGCCACGGCGCGGUGAAUACGUUCCCGGGCCUUGUACACACCGCCCGCCAAGCCAUGGGAGCCGGGGGUACCUGAAGUACGUAACCGCAAGGAUCGUCCUAGGGUAAAACUGGUGA